CCUACGGGAGGCAGCAGUAGGGAAUCUUCCGCAAUGGACGAAAGUCUGACGGAGCAACGCCGCGUGAACGAUGAAGGCCUUCGGGUCGUAAAGUUCUGUUGUUAGGGAAGAACAAGUGUUAGUUGAAUAAGCUGGCACCUUGACGGUACCUAACCAGAAAGCCACGGCUAACUACGUGCCAGCAGCCGCGGUAAUACGUAGGUGGCAAGCGUUGUCCGGAAUUAUUGGGCGUAAAGCGCGCGCAGGCGGUUUCUUAAGUCUGAUGUGAAAGCCCCCGGCUCAACCGGGGAGGGUCAUUGGAAACUGGGAAACUUGAGUGCAGAAGAGGAAAGUGGAAUUCCAAGUGUAGCGGUGAAAUGCGUAGAGAUUUGGAGGAACACCAGUGGCGAAGGCGACUUUCUGGUCUGUAACUGACGCUGAGGCGCGAAAGCGUGGGGAGCAAACAGGAUUAGAUACCCUGGUAGUCCACGCUGUAAACGAUGAGUGCUAAGUGUUAGAGGGUUUCCGCCUUUAGUGCUGAAGUUAACGCAUUAAGCACUCCGCCUGGGGAGUUACGGCGCAAGACUGAAACUUAAAUGAAUUGACGG
rnacentral:rRNA from 1 species